AGAAUGAACGUUGGCGGCGUGGAUUAGGCAUGCGAGUCGCGCGAAAAUGUAGCAAUACAGGAAAGCGGCGAAAGGGAGAGGACAACAUGGGAAUCUGCCCGGGGGUCGAGGAUAGCUACGGGAAACUGUAGGUAAUACUCGAUAAUGUUUACGAACCAAAGGUUUACUGCCCCCGGAUGAGCUCAUGCCCCAUUAGUUAGUUGGCGGUGUAAUGGACCACCAAGGCGAUGAUGGGUAGCUGGUGUGAGAGCACGACCAGCCUCACUGGCACUGAGACACUGGCCAGACACCUACGGGUGGCUGCAGUCGAGAAUCUUCGGCAAUGGACGAAAGUCUGACCGAGCGACGCCGCGUGCGGGAUGAAGGCCUUCGGGUUGUAAACCGCUGUCGAGGGGGAUUAAGGGAAACUUGAAUGAACCCUGGAGGAAGGAGAGGCUAAGCUCGUGCCAGCAGCCGCGGUAAGACGAGCUCUCCAAACGUUAUUCGGUAUCACUGGGCUUAAAGAGUUCGUAGGCGGCUUUGUAGGUGGGGUGUGAAAGCCCUCGGCUCAACCGAGGAAUUGCGCCCCAAACCGCAGGGCUUGAGGGAUAUAGGGGUAAGCGGAACAGAUGGUGGAGCGGUGAAAUGCAUUGAUAUCAUCUGGAACACCGGUGGCGAAAGCGGCUUACUGGAUAUUUUCUGACGCUGAGGAACGAAAGCUAGGGUAGCGAACGGGAUUAGAUACCCCGGUAGUCCUAGCCGUAAACGAUGAGCACUAGUCUGAAGGACUCUCACAGUCUUUCGGACGUAGCGAAAGUGUUAAGUGCUCCGCCUGGGGAGUAUGGUCGCAAGGCUGAAACUCAAAGGAAUUGACGGGGGCUCACACAAGCGGUGGAGCAUG
rnacentral:rRNA from 1 species